CAUGCCCGGGGCGUCUGCGGUCGUCCCAGCAUCGACGCCACGCGGACCCGGCACCUGCCGCUGCCGCCUGGACUGCUGCGCGGCCCGGAGAGCGUCGCCUUUGACGACAAAGGCAACGGCCCAUACAGCGGCGUCUCCGACGGCCGCGUCCUCAAGUGGAACGGCGACAGGCUCGACUGGACGACGUACACUUACAGCCCUGGAUACAGCAGCGAGGCGUGCACGGCGUCCGUCCGCCGCCCCGAGACCGUGACCGAGAGCCGCUGCGGCCGUCCGCUGGGCCUGCGGUUUCACCACAAGUCUGGCUACUUGUACAUAGCCGACGCCUACAAGGGGCUCAUGAGGGUCGCGCCAGGAGGCGGGGAGGCGACGGUGCUCGUCACGGAGGCCGAUGGCGCUCCUCUCCGCUUCACCAACGGCGUGGACGUCGACCAGGUGACCGGUGAAGUCUACUUCACCGACAGCUCUAUGAAAUAUCAAAGGUCACAGCACGAGAUCGUAACAAGAACCGGGGACUCCACAGGCCGCCUAAUGAGAUAUGAUCCACGCACAGGAAAAGUGAUUGUGCUAAAGGCCGGCAUCACUUACCCCAAUGGUCUCGCCAUCAGCGCUGAUCGGACACACCUCGUCAUCUCAUCGACCGGGCCGUGCAAGUUGCUGAGGUACUGGACCAAAGGUCCCAAGACAGGGUCGAUCGAACUGUUAACUGAUCUACCGGGCUAUCCUGAUAACGUGAGCCCGGACAAGAGAGGAGGAUACUGGGUGGCAAUACAUCGUGAGAAGACAGAACUCCCCUUUGGCGUCGAUAGCCAUCUACUUGCCUUGAGGAUCACCGCUGAUGGAAAAAUAAUCGAGAAGAUGAGAGGACCCAAGGGCAUGAGGCCAACAGAGGUGGUGGAACGGACAGGCGGUAGACUAUUUGUGGGAUCCGUUGAGCUUUCUUAUGUGGUCGUGGUCACCCGCAAAUAG
rnacentral:rRNA from 1 species